UUAGUACUCCCUCCGUCCCAAAAUUCUUGUCUUAAAAUUUUUUAUUCAUAAUUUAGUGUUAGAUACAUCCGUAUCUAUAUAAAUCUAAGACAAGAAUUUUGGGACGGAGGGAGUAUAUA
rfam:Triticum aestivum genome assembly, contig: Triticum_aestivum_CS42_TGACv1_scaffold_320658_4BL